GAGGGUAUAGCUCAGUGGUAGAGUACAUGUUUAGUAUGCAGGAGGUCUUGGAUUCAAUCCCCAGUACCUCCA
rnacentral:tRNA from 1 species